UACGAAGGGGGCUAGCGUUGUUCGGAAUUACUGGGCGUAAAGGGCGCGUAGGCGGACCAUUAAGUUAGGGGUGAAAUCCCGGGGCUCAACCUCGGAAUUGCCUUUGAAACUGUUGGUCUUGAGGACGGGAGAGGGUCGUGGAAUUCCCAGUGUAGAGGUGAAAUUCGUAGAUAUUGGGAAGAACACCGGUGGCGAAGGCGGCGACCUGGACCGUAUCUGACGCUGAGGCGCGAAAGCGUGGGGAGCAAACAGG
rnacentral:rRNA from 1 species